rnacentral:lncRNA from 1 species
AUACCUUUGCGUGGAUAGUUCUUCACCACGAUCUUAUACCUUUGCAUGGAUAUCUUUGAGAUUUUUUAAAGCCGCACAUGUGUCCGAUCUCUACAGGUAUCCACAUAGGACUAAUCUCAAUUAGGAGCAUCCAAAACCACCAAGGUGCUAGUUCCUUGCAAGUUUCUCUCCUUCAAUAAUUGGAUCUAUCUUCUUCUUUCCACCUUUUCCCUUUGCAAGAGAUUCAAGAAAGAAGACAAGAGGAUGAAGAUGGAGAAGAUGUGUGAACACCUUUAUGUGAAAGAGGAGGAAGAAGAAGAGAGGUAAA